CUGUAAAUCCCAGCCCUUGGGUGGAGACAGAAUCAGUUCAAGGCUAUUCUGGGCAAUGUGAGACUCUGUCUCCUGGAAGAAAAGGAGGGAGAAGGUUGAGGUAAGCCGGGGACAGCUCAGUGGAUAAAGCGUGAUGACUAGAGUUUGGCUCCCCAACACCCACAAAAAUGCUAAGUGGUCGUUGUUGUUCCUUUGGAGACAAGGCCACACAUGCGCAGAAAAUACAGUCUCCAAGUGGACUACAAACCCCAAAAUGCCCAGAGCCCUUUAAAAAUGGGCGUUCCAACCCGCCCUCUCUCUCUCUCCUCGCGCCCUCCCCUCCUCUUUCCCUUUCGUCUCUUCACUCCCGUUCCUUGUAUGUUACCCUCCCCCAUUAAAGUUUACCCACGUGGGACCCCGCGUGUCUUGUCUCUCCUUCCCCAACCCCGCGCGUCUCGUGUCUCCCCCUCCCGAACAACACCCCCGCAUUUAAAAAAUAAUAACAUUUUGGUGCCGUCUGCUCGGGGACCUUCUCGCCCCGGGGCCCUCACCUGAGGCCUCGGCUCUGGGUUUUGGCGCCUCCUGGAGCUCGGGGCCUCCCCCGGGACAAGGUCAAAACCGGACGACCUGCGACCACUCCACGUGUUCCAGCCAUCUCGACACGGCCCUCCCUCUCCAACCGUUAGCGGCUAAUUCCAUCCUAACGGUGACCCAGCCACUCAAGAGCCAGACAGAUACAAUCUCCAGACAGAUGCGAUUUCUUCAAUCAGCCACUUGAUGCCAGCGGACAAAACAUCGAUAUGACAUCAUCAGGACAAUAGGACGCUCCCCGGACCCCUCGACGCCCAAAGUCAGCAGGAAGCAGUCAUGAGAGACCGGGCUACGCCCCUAUUCCCUACCCGUUAAGACCCUCAACCCCCCCCUCAAUUUUUUUUUUUUUUUUAAUAAAACCAAAAGGGUGGAAUGUUGUUCCUUUGGAGACAAGGCCACACAUGCGCAGAAAAUACAGUCUCCAAGUGGACUACAAACCCCAAAAUGCCCAGAGCCCUUUAAAAAUGGGCGUUCCAACCCGCCCUCUCUCUCUCUCCUCGCGCCCUCCCCUCCUCUUUCCCUUUCGUCUCUUCACUCCCGUUCCUUGUAUGUUACCCUCCCCCAUUAAAGUUUACCCACGUGGGA